AGUCAGAACUUGCUGAUCUCUGGGUCUGGGUCCUUUGUCCUGCUGGGGAUGCCGGGACUGGAGGCUCUGCAUGCCUGGCUCUCUGUGCUUGUGUGCCUGCUCUACAUGGCAGCUUUGGUAGGGAAUGCCCUUCUAGUGGGGCUGGUGGUCACUGACAAGGCACUCUGGGCACCCAUGUACCAGCUGCUGUGGCUUCUGGCAGCUGCUGAUUUUGUUCUGGCCACAUCCACAGUGCCCAAAGCUCUGGCUGUACUUUGGGGCUUGUCUAGUGAGAUAUCAUUUGGAGGCUGCUUGGCUCAACUCUUUGUUGCCCAUGUGUCAAUCAUUGCCACAUUGCUGAGUCCUCAGUGCUGCUGUCCACGGCCGUAGACUGCCAGCCUUUGCGCUAUGGGGCGUUGCUGGCCCAGUUUGUGGUAGGUCUAGUGGCUCUGACUACCAUGACCCGUGAUGUCUGUGUCAUGUACACCCUGUGAUCCUGUUCAAGAAACUGCCUUACUGUGGACAGUGGGCCCUGCCCCACACCUACUGCGAACACAUGGGUGUGGCUUGCCUGGCAUGUGGAGAUACGUGCCCCAUCAUCAGGUAUGGACUGGCCACCACACUGCUCUCCCCAGCCCUGGACCUAGGGCUCAUAGGUGCUUCCUAUGCCCUCAUUUUCCGUGCUGUCUGCCGUCUGCCAUCCCAUGUUGCCUGCCACAAGGCUCUGGGUAACUGCGGGACCUAUGCUAGCAUCAUUGGUCUCUUCUACACACCUGCCCUCUUCUCCUUCCUUGCUCACUGUUUUGGGUGUCACACAGUGCCCAACCAUAUUCACAUCCUACUGGCUAACCUCUACGCAGUGGUGUUCCCAGCUUUCAAUCCUGUGGUCUAUGGAGUGCAGACUCAGCAGAGCUCAGAG
rnacentral:lncRNA from 1 species